GAGCCGCGGGGCCCGAGCGACGGCGCCGGCCGGGGCCGCGGCGCGCGGAAGCCACUUUGCACGGUCAGCGCCGGCCACAAGUUUGUUCCUCGGCUCCCGGGGGCCUCCGCGCUGAGGGAGAAUAACGCGGAGGGGGCUGAGAGGAGGGGGAGAGGGGAGGCGCCGAGGGGCAAAAGAGUGGGGAAAAGUGCGAAAAGAAGCAACAGCCGCUCCACCCGGGACCAGAAAAGUGGCCGGCCGCGUCCCGGCCGCCCGCCCUGCGCCGGGGAUGCGGCGGCUAACGGUCCAAGGAGGCGGCAGGGGCGGCAGGAGCCGCUAGGCGGAGAGAGACCAGAUAUUUCAUGGUGUUCUACAUCAAGCAUAUGAUUUUCUCAUACCUCACUUCCUGAACACAUUUGGGAAGUAUAACUUAUAAUAUGAUUUUAUAAUCUCCAUCAAAAUAAGAAGUUGGUUGUUUUCAUCAGAAGAUAACAUUAAUUGCAUCAGGUAAAUUAAUUCUAUUACCUUGUAAUUUUAAUUUUAGAGCUUUGAAAGAAAAAGAAUAAAUUUGACAUAGGUUACCCAUCAAAGUAUAGAAUUUAGAAGUCCCAUAAUGUUGCCCUUCAUUCCUUAGCUCAAAAGUGACUCUGGACAUGGAGUUCACAAUGAGACAAAAGAGGGCAAUGGAAGUUUAACUGCUGCAGUUUGACCAAAUUCUACAGUCGCUGAGUCAGGAAGGAAACAUGACAACAAAGUGAUCCAGAACCAACAGCUGCCUUUGGGACCCACACCAACUCUUCUAAUAAAGUCUUCCAGGAGGUAAUAAUAAGGACAAAUGGUUUCCCCAAACCUCCAUGUGGUUUUAUUAUAUAUUGCACCAUAAACUGUUUUUUUCCUUUUGGGUAUAAGUCUCUUAUUUUUAAAAUAAGUCAAUGAAAUGUUAACACACAGAGCUUCUUAUUUGGGGGGCAUUUUUUCAGGAACAUGUCUAAUAUGGACAGAUGUAAGUAUAAAUAAAUGUAGAAAAAAUGUUUGGAGGGUGUUAAUGAACAUCCAAAAACUAAAACUAAUCUUUCCAUAAAAUCACAGUAAUUAGUAUGAUUGUUUUCAAAGGCUGCCUUCAUGGAAGAUAGUUUCUUUUAGAACAUGUUUAACACUUUUUUUGUAUACUUGACAACUAUAGGUAAAUUAAAUAGCUACAUGCAUAUUCUGGAUUUCAGUGAAUUUACCUUAUCAGGGAUCUGAUACCUGGUUUCUACUGCUGAUUUUCCCCCCUCUUGUCUCCAUGUAUGUCUUUUCUGUGGCAUCUUGAUUUUUUUUUUUUUAAAGCAGUUGACUGGUUCUCUGACAGAGUAUAGCUAUAUCAUUGACCUAUAGUCCACAGAUCCUCAGUUACAGUCACUGCCACUUUUCAUUCCUUGGGGUAUAUAUAUUUUUUUAAAUAUUAGCAGUCAGUAAAAGGUUUUCAAUGUCCCACAAUUGUGUUAAGCUCACAUGAAAAAGUUGGCAAUAAGUAACACCCUGUGUUGAAAUAUAUCCACAACUUUAAGAUCCUUGGUCAGACCCUUCUCAUUCUUUCAUAUGCCUCUAUUUCUAGCUCACUCUCUUUAUCCUAAUUACAUAACUAGAUCACAGACUCUGCCCCUCUCCACUGGUUUAUGUUUUAAUCAUUCUCUUCAUCUUUCUUUGUGCCAGGUCUAACAUACCUAUUUGGAUCAAUUCCUUUCUUACUUUGUUCGAAGUAUUUUGAGUCAUCCCAACUCUGUAAAAUGCUUUGAUUUUUCAUAUUCUGGUUUUUCUUUGUCCCUCAAAGUCUAUUCUCUGCAUUUCUAUGUUCUUAGAGGCUAAUUUUUAUGGACCACACCACCCAGGAUCCUUUCCCUUCUGGUUUCUGUUUGGUUUCAACCAAUUUGGAGGCCUUGGCAAAUGAUCACAGGAAGGAAAGAGAGAGGUCAGGAUAUUUAUUUCACCUUUCCCCAUACUGCCCCCCGCCUGUUUGUGGCUUUUGGCAGUAACUUCAUUCCUCUAGAACCAAGGCCAUGGUUCUAGUCAUACAACCCUAUCUCAUGGCAACAGGUCUUGGCAAGUUCCAGCAACUGCUUCCCUUUGUCCCUUCAGGCCUAGGGAUGGCAAUGGUGUCCUCAUAUUAUGAGUCCUUGGGGACUUUAUUUCCUAUUGGUUCCCCUAAAGCCUGCCCACAUCUCUGUAAAUAGUCUCUUCAUCAAACUCUCUUCUGUUUACCCUUUGAGUGUGCCAUUUGCUUCCUGCCAGGCCCCUCAAUACUAUACACAGAGAAAUAAAAUACAUUUACCCUUAUUUAUCAAUCCAGAAUUUUAUUUCUAUUGAUCACAACACCAAAGUUUGAAUAUGAUAUAAAUAUAUCAUUCAGUGACUAAGUAUAUACUCAUGUACUGUGUGUACAUGCAAAAUCUGAAAUAUUCUCAAGUCUAUUACAUCGUAAUUAUUCAGUAACUAUUUGUAGAAUGAAGGCCUCUGUGCUAGUGAUAAGAAAUCUAAGAGAGACUGCUUUUAUAUAAUUAAAACAUGAAGGAGAAAAGAAAAUCUUAAUACCACAGUAUUAAGGUAGAGAUAGCUGGUUGUCUCCAGUAUGUUUCUUCUUAAUAAUGGAACCCUCCCCUCCUACCCAUGGCCACUUGAAUGGUCUUUUCAUAAAUCUAGGUGUUACUGUGCUACUCAGUUCUGGCCAGUGAGAUAUAAGUGGAGGUGAUGUGUGCAAUGUCAAGGAAGUCUGUCCUUCGAAAGGAGAUGGUUCAUUAUUCUUUCUCUUCUUGCUGGUUUGAAUCAGAACUGCUAGCUAGAGAUUCUUAAGAUAAGAAAGGUAAAGCAACAAGAUUGAAGGGGCCUGAGUCCUUGACACGAUAGAAUACCAUAACUAACUCUAGACUUCUUAUUACUUCCAGAUCUCUUUUAUUUAGAGAGAAAUAAACAUCUUCUUUAAGCUACCAUUAUCUUGGAUUUCCUGUUGUAGGCAGCCCAAGUUAAUCCUGUUUGAUACUGGUAUGUAUAUGAGUUUCCUAUUGUUAUGACAAAAAAUUAUCACAAAGUUAGUGGCUUAAAAUAACAUCCAUUGUCUUACAGUUCUUGAAGUCAGAAGUCCAAAAUGGGUUUCACCAGGCUAAACUCACGGUUUUGGUAGGAUUAGUUUCCUCCAGAAGGCUCUAGGAGGGGCUCUUUCUUUACCUUUUCCAGCUUCUGGGGGCUACCCACAUUCCUUGGCUUAUGGCUCCUUCCUCUGUCUUCAAAGCCAGCAACAUUGGGCCAAGUUCUUCUGCUGUCAGCUUACUAGUUCUUUAUAUUUCUGUCUCCCCUUUCUAUUUUUAAGGGCAUUUGUGAUUAAAUUAGAUCCACCCAGAUAAUUUAGGAUAUCUCCACAUUUCAGGAUCAGCUGAUCGACAAACUUAAUUGCAUGUGCAACCUUAAUUCCCACAUAAUCUAACAUAUUCACAGGUUCUGGGAAUUAGGGCGUAGACAUCUUUGGAGGCCACUGUUCUGCCUACCAAAGUAUGCAGGCUUUAAGUUUCAUGAUAAAUAUUUUUAUUGAUUUAUUUGUUCAUCUUUAAUUUAUAAACAGCUUUAAAACAUUAUGGUAAUUGGUCAUUACUUUUAAUGUAACAUUUAGCAUUGUGCCAUGUAGAAGUUUUAAUAAUUAUUCAUUAGUUCAUUUAUUUAAUUGCUGUUCUCGUGCAUAUUCUAUGUGACAGAUGCUAUGUGGGGGCUAUAAAUGCUUCAUACACUUCUUGACCUCAAGAAGUGCAGGAAGAAACAGAUCGACAAAAAGACUGUUUAAAUAAAUACCAGGAGAUCUAGUAUACAAAGGAGAGACAACCAGCCUGAAGUCAACAUCCAAGAAUAGGAGAACAAUCAGGUCUCCUAAGUAAAGAGUUGAAUUACCUUUAGAUAGACAGAACCUCUCCACCUCUUACCUCUGCAUCUCCACACUUCUGCUUAACUUUCUUUCAGGACUUACCACUGUGCACAAAGGUGGUAUCGACUCAAAAGAGAUACUUUGUGGGGCUAUAAAUGCUUCAUACACUUUUUGACCUCAAGAAGUUCAGAAAGAAACAGAUUAACAAAAAUACUGUUUAAAUAAAUGUCCAGGAGAUCUACUAUACAAAGGAGAUACGUCUAAACUAACCUGGAGUCAAGUAAGUCUUUCUUGGAGAAGGAUAGAAUUUGUCAGGAAAAUGAGGGAAGAAUGUUAAAUGCAGAAAUUAUAGCAUAUGCAGACCCUUCCAGAUGAAAGUACAGUGUUUUGGGGACAGAGGAUCCAAUAGAAUAAGAGCAUCAAAUAAAAGGAAUACCUAUUCCAAAUGAGGCUGCAGAAGUGGGUAAACAAGUAGAAUUAAUCUUGCUGAUUUUGAAAUGGGGAGAUAUCCUGAAUUAUCUGGGUGGACUUAAUUCAAUCAAAAAUGCCCUUAAAAAGAGAAGAGGGAGGCAGAAAUAGAAUUAGUGAGCUGACAGCAGGAGAAGGACUCUCUCUGUCCAGUGUUGCGCUCUCUGUCCAGUGUUGCUGGCUUUGAAGAUAGAAGAAGGGGCCAUGACCCAAGGAAUGUAGGUGGCCCCAAAGAAGACCAAGAAAGAUUCCCCCCAGACCCUUCUGGAGGAACCUAAUCCUACCAAAACCUUGAGUUUAGCCUGUUCUUCAGUCUUCGGGUAUGUUAUGGACAUGCAUCAAACUACUAAAAUCCACUUUUGGUGGUUGACGUUGGUUUCAAAUCCUGUCCUUGUUGCAUCUGCUCUCCUUUCAGUGCUAGACAGCGCGGACUGACCAAAAGACUAUCAACCCCACAAAAGCAUGUGAUGCAAAGAAUUUGACAACCCAUUAGCUAGAAAACCAUCACCUGAAUAAUUCAAAAUCGAUUGAAGCUUUUCCCCCCAUAUGUAAAAUUGUUCUGUCAUUCCCUUCAUUUUUUGCAUUCCUGCUUCGUAUAGCCUUGGGAAGCAUAGAUCAGUGAUGUAGCGGUAAAAGACAUCAUGAUACCAAAUAGGAAAUGAGGACUUGGGAGAUGCUUCGGACCUCUUAAUUUUCAGGCCACUUGAUAGCAGAUACAGUUCAUUACACAGGAAAAUUGCUUGAUCUUGGGAAAAGAGGGUGCUGGAGGUGAGGGAAAAUGAGUUAGUCACCAAUACGGUUCACCUUGCAAUUCAGUCAUUUAGAUCUAACUAGAGAAUGAUUGCUGUCAUGUUCCAGAUAAAGAAUGAAAUCUCUUCUCAGAAUAAAAUGUUGAAUCACAUAUCCCCUGUUUAGAUUCUAGGAUAAAAAAGUAAAAGAAGGAAAUAGUUUGCGUAUGUUAAUACACACCAAUUUUAAUAGAGAAUGUACUCUUUUAGAGCCUUUAUAAUUACUACAUAUGGUUUUAUUUGAGCUUUAUUAUGACAUUAGUAGAUAUUAUUUCCAUCUCUUAUGUAUAGAGAGACCAAUUCAGAGGCUACAGUCAGCCAGUUCAUAUAGACUGGGACUCAAAUUUAGAUUCCAUGUGUAAAUUCGGUUGUGCUCAGUAAACAUAAAAUAUCCAGGGCUGUCCAAAGACAAGAUUCUAAAGCAUAAACCUUUAUUCUAAAGCAUAAAAUUAAUAUUCAGAAAAAGAAUUGUGAAUAUUCUGUUAUAUUGUGAAUAUUCUGUUAUAUGUUCAAUAUUUCUAUAAAUUUUCUCAUGCAAAACUUUUGAGUGGCAUAUAAUUCUUUCUAUACUUCAUUUUCUCUGUUUAUUGAACAUAAAACAUUCCCUCCUGCGCCCUUUCAGAAGAUCUUUUUCCUUACUUCCCAGUCUCUUUCCCUCCCAUCUUUUUCCUUAUUCCCCAGUCGCCAUCCCUCCCCACUUGCCCUGAUGACCCACCACAAAUUUUACCAGCUUUAUUUCAUAAUCAGUUACUCUGUGUCUUGUCUCUCAUUCCAUAUUAUAAACUCAUUUAUGAUAGAGACCAUGGCUAAUAAUUCCUGCUAUAGUGAUGGCCAUAUCUGGAAAAAAUAUAUAUUUUAAAUAUCUUUUAUGAUAGAUAACUACCAGCUAUGGCUGGUAUAAGAAGAGGAUCCUGGGAGGCCUGGGUGGCUCAGUUGAUUAAGCAGCUGACUUGAUUUCAGCUCAGGUCAUGAUCUCAGA